AUUGAACGCUGGCGGCAGGCCUAACACAUGCAAGUCGAGCGGAGCGGCGGACGGGUGAGUAAUGCCUAGGAAUCUGCCUGGUAGUGGGCGAUAACGCCGGGAAACGGGCGCUAAUACCGCAUACUAUCAGAUGAGCCUAGGUGGCAUUAGCUAGUUGGUGGGGUAAAGGCCUACCAAGGCGACGAUCCGUAACUGGUCUGAGAGGGUGAUCAGUCACACUGGGACUGAGACACGGCCCAGACUCCUACGGGAGGCAGCAGUGGGGAAUAUUGGACAAUGGGCGAAAGCCUGACCCAGCCAUGCCGCGUGAGUGAAGAAGGUCUUCGGAUUGUAAAGCUCUUUAAGUAGAGAGGCGUUACCUACAGAAAAAGCAACGGCUAACUACGUGCCAGCAGCCGCGGUAAUAC
rnacentral:rRNA from 1 species